UGAGGAAUAUUGGGCAAUGCCUGCAAGGGUGACCCAGCAACGCCGCGUGGAGGAUGAAUGUCGUAAGAUUGUAAACUCCUGUUAGAGGGGAAGAAUAGUACCGGUUGGACCGGUAUAUGACUGUACCCUCAGAGAAAGCCCCGGCUAACUACGUGCCAGCAGCCGCGGUAAUGCGUAGGGGGCAAGCGUUGUCCGGAUUUACUGGGUGUAAAGGGCGCGCAGGCGGGAUAAAAGGUCAGUGGUGAAAUCCUACAGCUUAACUGUAGAACUGCCUUUGAUACUUUUAUUCUUGAGUUCGGGAGAGAGAGACGGAAUUCCAGGUGUAGUGGUGAAAUACGUAGAUAUCUGGAAGAACACCAGUUGCGAAGGCGGUCUCUUGGUCCGACACUGACGCUGAGGCGCGAAAGCGUGGGGAGCAAACA
rnacentral:rRNA from 1 species